rnacentral:rRNA from 1 species
CCUACGGGUGGCAGCAGUCGAGAAUCAUUCACAAUGGGGGAAACCCUGAUGGUGCGACGCCGCGUGGGGGAAUGAAGGUCUUCGGAUUGUAAACCUCUGUCAUGUGGGAGCAAAUUAAAAAGAUAGUACCACAAGAGGAAGAGACGGCUAACUCUGUGCCAGCAGCCGCGGUAAUACAGAGGUCUCAAGCGUUGUUCGGAAUCACUGGGCGUAAAGCGUGCGUAGGCUGUUUCGUAAGUCGUGUGUGAAAGGCGCGGGCUCAACCCGCGGACGGCACAUGAUGCUGCGAGACUAGAGUGAUGGAGAGGUAACCGGAAUUCUCGGUGUAGCAGUGAAAUGCGUAGAUAUCGAGAAGAACACUCGUGGCGAAGGCGGGUUCCUGGACAUUAACUGACGCUGAGGCACGAAGGCCAGGGGAGCGAAAGGGAUUAGAUACCCGUGUAGUC